UGCAGUCGACGAUGAUGGACCAGCUUGCUGGUUUGGAUUAGUGGCGAACGGGYGAGUAACACGUGAGUAACCUGCCCUUCACUUUGGGAUAAGCCUUGGAAACGGGGUCUAAUACCGAGUAUUCACAUUUUGCCGCAUGGUGGGGUGUGGAAAGCUUUUGUGGUGAGGGAUGGACUCGCGGCCUAUCAGCUUGAUGGUGGGGUAGUGGCCUACCAUGGCUUUGACGGGUAGCCGGCCUGAGAGGGUGACCGGCCACACUGGGACUGAGACACGGCCCAGACUCCUACGGGAGGCAGCAGUGGGGAAUAUUGCACAAUGGGCGGAAGCCUGAUGCAGCGACGCCGCGUGGGGGAUGAAGGCUUUCGGGUCGUAAACUCCUUUCAGCAGGGACGAAGCUUUUGUGACGGUACCUGCAGAAGAAKYACCGGCUAACUACGUGCCAGCAGCCGCGGUAAUACGUAGGGUGCGAGCGUUGUCCGGAAUUAUUGGGCGUAAAGAGCUUGUAGGCGGUUUGUCGCGUCUGCCGUGAAAGCCCAGGGCUUAACCCUGGGUCUGCGGUGGGUACGGGCAGACUAGAGUGUGGUAGGGGAGACUGGAAUUCCUGGUGUAGC
rnacentral:rRNA from 1 species